rnacentral:misc_RNA from 1 species
GGAAGUAAGAGUCGUAACAAGGUUUCCGUAGGUGAACCUGCGGAAGGAUCAUUAUUGGAUUUUGAAACUUCAGGCUGCUGCUGGCUCUCCUCGGAGGGCAUGUGCACGCUUGUUGUCCAUUAUUCCUCCCACUGUGCACAAAUUGUAGACCUUUCAGUAGGCCUAUGUUGUUUUUCACAAUCUCUGAAUGUAAUAGAAUGGUUUUGAAUCUUGGGAAAUACAAUACAACUUUCAGCAACGGAUCUCUUGGCUCUC